rnacentral:rRNA from 1 species
UACGUAGGGAGCAAGCGUUGUUCGGAUUUACUGGGCGUAAAGGGCGCGUAGGCGGCCACCGCAAGUCGACUGUGAAAUCUCCGGGCUUAACUCGGAAAGGUCAGCCGAUACUGCGGGGCUAGAGUGCAGAAGGGGCAACUGGAAUUCUCGGUGUAGCGGUGAAAUGCGCAGAUAUCAGGAAGAACACCCGUGGCGAAAGCGGCUCUCUGGAACGGUACUGACGCUGAGGCGCGACAGCGUGGGGAGCAAACAGG